GUAAGUAAAGAAAUAUAUAAUAAAAAAUUAAAAAAAGAAAGAAAAUAAAUGGCUUAUCCAUCUGAACAGAAUUUUCAAAAGGAGAAAUAAAAAUGGCUAAGAAAUAUCUCAACAAGUGUCCAGCACCAGUAGCCAUUAGUUUAAUGUCAUUCUCUGCUCUUGUUUCAGUGUGUACCAAUCCCCAGGCCCAGAUGCAGCCUCAGCUCAAAAGCCAUCUGCUGCUCCAUUUUGUUCCCAGAUGUGCCUGGUUUCCUGAUUCAUUUAACGGAAUCUCUUAGAACUACUUUGAUGGGCUGGAUGAUCUAAAGGCAAAUCUCAUCUACAUCAUUGGCAAGCCCUCUAUGUCAUUGUAAGCUUUCCACUGUGAUAACACAAUCUUACACAGAUGCAAAAUAUCUAAUAAUAACUUGAAGAUAGGGCAAACGAAAACCACCAAGGGAAGUAAAAUUUGCCUCAAAGGUUACCCUCAUCUCUCAAGGGUCUGUAAGUACAGAACUGUGAGAAGAAUUCCCUGAGACUUACCAUUAGGCCAGGCCCAUCAGCUUCAUAUUGAACUCCAUAAAUAUGGAAGAGAUUCAUCUUUUGCAGAAAGGAAAUUAAUUUUGUAUUUAUUUCAAACAAAAUUAUAGCCCUACUAAUAUGGUUUAAGUCAAAUAAUCUAUGCAUCUCCAAAUUUGGAAACAGCUGGUGUCCAAUCAUUGAAUCAAGUCCCUUUGAUUACUUAAAGAGUGCACAAUAGGACUUUUGGGUCUUCAUUUCUCAGGUUGGGUAGUUUCUCCCCUCCCAGCUUGCCUUAGCUUCCAGUUCUUUAAUCAUCUUCUGGAUCAUCUCUAAAGUGCUCCAGUCUUUCAUGAGUCAGUCUACUCGAGAAAGCGCUCCAGCUGCUAAGAAACGCAUCGGCCUCUGUCUUUAUGUGUCAGGUUUUUCAGCCUCGUGAUAUAUAUUUCUUUGUAGCCUCUGGGCACAUGGACAGAUGAUGCUAUCACAGGAGUAUUUCUGCCUUCUUCUUACUUUUAAAAUGUUUGUAUGAUAGCGUGCUUUACCAGUGAGUCAGAUUCCUUAGCUAAGAGUACGAACUAGACACAGGGAUGACAGUUUAGUUCCAUUCAAGUUUAGAGAUUUGACAUUGCCAGUUUUCACUCAGCUUUAACAAUCUUGACUUUACAGGAAAUGAGUAAAGUGGAGGAAAUUUACUAAGAUAGAAGAAAUUCCUUCUCAGCAUAAGCAAACAGGUUGGCCUAAAUUCUAAAAAGGACUAUAAACUUAAAGUUUCAGUUUAUUUUACACAGAAUUUAAAUAUAGUGGCCAAACCCAUGAAAUCAGGAGAUAUAUGCAUAACUUGUAUAAAUUAUCUUAUAUAUAAUCUAUGUAUUAUAUAUUGAUAGAUGGUAGAUAUAGAUAGAUAUAUAGAUGAUAGCUAGCUAGAUAGGUAGGUAGAUAGAUAGAUAGAUAGAUAGAUGGAUGGAUGGAUGGAUGGAUAGAUAGAUAGAUAGAUAGAUAGAUAGAUAGAUAGAUGGAUUACAAAUGUAGUGUUAGUGACUGGAAAUGUGUUUAGUGAGUUUAUACAUUAUAUAGAUCCUGAGAAAUCACUGUCAUUUUUAGACCGAGCAUGUGAUGAACAGGGUAGAAUUUCAGUAAGAUUGAUAUGGUAUUCAUGAAUAAAAUCCACUCAAAUAUGAAAAUUGUUUGGAAAACAAAUAAUUUAGGAAUAAUUCAACAAAAGUUUGAGAAAUGAAGAAGGACAGACUGUCUUAGAAAAAAUUAUACAAUUUAAUUGAUGUGGAGAGUAACAUUCAGGGGCAAUUCUAAUGCUAAGUGUAGGCUGCAAACAGGCAACACAUUAAAGAAACAAAAAAACCAAAGGGCAAGAGACUCCCUAGGAUCAUAAUAGGCAACCAGAUUUUACAUAAAUGGUAAGUCAAGGUCAAAAAAAGAAUAUGUAAAUAUUUUUCUAAAAUUGGGCAACACUGAGAAAGAUAAAGAAAGGUUGUUAACUUGAGACAUGGACUAUGAAAUUGAUUUGGAACUAUGGAGAUUUUGUCUGUGGAAAGCGAUGUUCAUAGAGUACAAGGGAGGAGACAACAUGGAGGUGUUAGCCAAUGGAAUAAAUGGCAGGCUCUGAGCCGCAGAUGGCUGGAGUAGCAAAACUCACAACCAAGGACUUCAAAGUUGCUGUCCCAGCUACAUUAAAGACUUUCAGGAAAAGGAGACAAAAAGAAGUGAACAACAGAAAAUCUCAGCCAAGGAAUGAAACUAACUCUUCACCAACUCACGUUAGAAUUGAAACAUUUUAAGAAAUUAAAAUAUAUAUUAUUAAUAAGGAUAUUAAUACUUAGCAUUACAUAAAAAUGAUGAAUAACAAAAGAGGCUCCGUGAACUCGAGUAAACACUGAAGAGAAAGGAGGGAACACUGAAGGGGAAAAACCAUUUAAGCCUUAGGAUGGAUUAAAAACUUUCAAGUCCAAGAAGCUCAGCAAACCUCAAGAAAGAGAAAAGAAAAGAUGCCAAAUGUGGUGUAUUAGAGUUACAUAGCAUAGAACAGUUAGUAGUUAUGGAAUUGUCGAUUUACUUAGUGCUUUACUGAGAGCACUGCCUGUUUUCCUGACGAUGACUUCACCUGCUAUUGGGAACAGAAUGACCUGGAGGAAGAACUGAAACAAUAGGCCAUUCUGCUUACUGCUGUGUAGGCGUCUGUAAAAUCUUGCUUGCCCACCCAACCCGCCUGUGGUUUUAGAAUAUAAAAUGAGAACAUAGGCUGGACCUGACCUCGAAGGCUUUCAGAAGCUGUCCUGACUUCGGCCCUUUGGUGACAGGAGCUCAUUCCAUGGAGAUUCCUGUAACACAAGGAAGUGUGGGGAGCAGAGCUAUAGAAAUGACCCUAACAUAACCAAAGGAAAAAAUUCCCAUGCUAUGAGAGUAACCGUGGCAGCACCAAUAUUCUUCUCUCAAGAAAAACAUUCUUACCCAGAGCUCAACGCACUGAGAUAGUUUUAAUCAGGAACAAAGAAAAAAAAUAACUAUCAAGAAUGUUUUAAAUCAGCAAUAAAUAUGUCCUUUGGAAACGAAGGUGAAAUAAAGACAUUUCAGAAAGUGCUCUCAAGUCCUAGAAUUGGUUACAGAGCUUAAUUUGAGAGACUUUUUCUUUUAGUGUGCUUCUAUUGUUAAAAAAAAUAAAAAGCAUUUGAUUAAAGCAACAUGAAUUGCACUGUAUAACGAGAUACCUAAAACAUAAAACAGCAAAAUACUUGAAAUCAUAUGAUAAAUUAACCAACCAUAAUGGCAGACAGCUUAAAGAAGGCAUAUGGAAUUGUGUGUUCAUAGCCCUCCCAUAUUCUACAUAGUUUAAUAAUAAUACAGAGUAGGCAGGUUAUACAUACAAAUACAGCAAUGAAGUAAUACAAGAAGUUACAUGCAGAAUCCCAAGUGAAGCAGAUAAGACAAGAAUGCUCAAUCCAUGCGCUCUGAGGGGAUGUUUAAAAGGACAAAGGGCAGUGACAACUGCAAUAGCUUUAGUGACUGUAAGUGGGAUAACAAAGGGGACAGGGCGAGACUGUUUUAAUAGUCCCAACUGUGUCUAUUGUAGGAAACAAAAUGCAAAGUUGAAAUAAAGGAUGAAACAUGACACACAGUACAAAACAAUGUAAUUUGCAGUUUUGCACCUAUGACGAGUGUGUUAGAGAAACACAUUAGAGGAAGAAGGAUUUACUCUGCUCAUAAUUCCAGAGGUUUCAGUACAUGAUGACUUUGCUCUGAUGUUUUGAUCAUGGUAUCAGGUAGAAUGUCAUGGUGGCAGGAAUGUGGGACAGAGGUUGCUUGCCUCAUGGUGAACAGGGAGCAGAAACAGAAAGACAUAGCUCCAGGGACUUACUUUCUCCCUAAACUUUAGGUCUAAAGUUUUCUACCCCUUGCAAGGUCACAAUAUUCGAAUUCAUCACUGGGUUAAUCCAUUAGUUUAGUCUAAGGCUUCAUGACUCAACUGGUUCUCAAUGAUCAGAUCUACCAAAUCUGUUUUUUUGAAUGACUAUUGCAGAACAUAUAAAGAGGUGAUAUGAUUCUACUACUGUGAGUAAAUGUAGUUAACAAUAGAAGUAAAUUUACUAUAGGCACAGAAGGACAUAACACAACUUGGGAGGGUUGAUCAUUCAUUAAGACAUAGUGAUCUAUUUUGGUUCUUUUCUUUUUUUUUCCCAGACCUGGGGACCGAACCCAGGGCCUUGCGCUUCCUAGGCAAGAGCUCUACCACUGAGCUAAAUCCCCAACCCAAGACAUAGUGAUCUUAAUCUGCUACACACUUACCGAUGUAGGGCAGGGUGCUGCGGCUACAUGGGUGAGGGAAUUAGAGUGAUGGGGUGUCCGGCAUGGGGGCAUGCGAUGACUAGUGACUCCUAGAAAGAACACACAGGCAAUGUGUGGGGCUCAGGAUGGUGCUCCACAGCAGGCACGUGGGUCCUGAGAGAAGCGACCUGACAUGCGCUCCUGUUUAGAGCAAAGCAACUGUGUACGCAGCGCAUAGCCUUGACUCAGGAACUGUGAGGAUUCAGGAUUCAAAGAUUCUAGGUCUCUGCAGUUUUAAUAGAGACCAUUUGGUUGCCUUCCACUUAUUUUUUCCUUUCAGGAGACGUCCGUCUUGGUUCCAAGGACUUUGUAAUGGAAGAGUUGGCGCUGCGGCGGCAGAGGAUUUUGUUUCCUUCUCUCCGUAGCCAUUCUGAGUUUCCAGGAUCCAGAGCGGCUUGGUCACCUUCACUGGCCCCUGCAUGCUCCCUUGGAUGCUCCAGUGGGAGAACAAGUGUGCAUUCACUAUUUCGAUCUUUUCUAUGAGGAGAAUGGGCAUCUUGCAUUUCUUGGGAGACAUCUUGCUCUUCUGCCCAGCGAGUGACAUUUCUGUAAUGCUUAGGAAAAGAGAAAGCAUGCUAGUCAAGCCUUUACGGUUUAGACAAAGUUUAAAGCUUUAAGGGACACACCAAAAACAAAUAAAAGUCAUACGUUCUUAAUUAA